AGGAUGUGCUCAGCCCCUUGGAAUGGCACCACUGGAUUAGAGAAGGCUCAUUCUUCACAGCUCACUCUCCAUUUGGAGCAGGACAAAGUGCUCUGAAAAGGACUUGGCCUGAGGGAGGUUCAGAGAGCUGGAACCAUCCACUGGUUUAAUUUAUCAGAGCAACAUGAACAAGAGAUUUGUGACUGCCAGUCAUAAAUGCAUCGACUGCAAGGUGACAGGGAGACAGCAGGGUGUGAUGAUGCUGCGGAGGAGCAGGAUCUCACCCACGUCCAGGCAAGUCGAGCAGGCAGGUUUAGCCAACACUGCCUCUGCUGGAAUGUUUAAACUUACUGGCCUAGGUGGAAUGUUUUUUGGAUGAUGCUAUUUACUCUGAUCUCGUUCUUCAGGAUAAUGGUAUGGUAUUCACUGCUCUUUUUGUGUGGGUAGGUAGUUUUUUUUCUUCCCAGCUCUUGCUUUCAAGAUGCUUGGUUGAAAGUUAGACAGCUUGCUGUGAUGGAGAAAAUUAAGAGCCUGCACCAAAAUGCUCUAGGAGUGGUAAGACCAAUUCUGAUAAUGAAUGCAAUAAAGACAACUGUAAGCCAGUAGCUGGAAUCGUUACUGCACUGUGUUGCCAUCACAAAUGUUACAGGACUGAGUACAUAGGCAGAGGGUUCUUCAAAUCAGUAGGACUUGACCAGUAGAACUUCAUUAUUUUCAGAGAAUGAGUAGCUGUGCCACUUGAGAAACCACAAGCAAAGCCUCUACAAGUGAAGAAAGUGAAGAUCAAACUCAUGACCCAAAAGAACAUGACCAAGCAUUCAGCAAGACUUUACAAGGGAUACUUACUGUUGAAGACUGAAAGCAAUUAGGCUACCUCCAUAAACUGCUGAUUGAUCACGGACAGGUUGAACGUUUACAACGCCGAGGAUACGAGGCUGCAAUACAGUUCUACACAGGCUCUGCUGUGUCACUGGAGAACGUCCUGCUGACAACUGGCCCAGGCAUCUCUCCAUUGCAUCCUCCCUGGGCACUCCCUGUGCGGCCAACAUCUAGAACUAAGGCAAGUGGAGCUUCACGAGACAAAGUGCUGGGAAGACCUACACUCUGUGAGUUCUGAUUAAACUGAAGAUACAAGAGACAGUCAUCAACUUGGAGUUGCUCAGGCUGGAGGUAACUCGGGCACACUUACUCCAAUACUCCAUGGUUUGAGUAUGUUCCUAUUCAAAUAGACCCUGUUCCAUCUGAAGACCUGCUGUACCAACUCCUCAUAAAGUGCCACAUGCUCUCAGUAAGAUCAUUCAUGUUCUAUUUGUAUACAGAUCCUAGCUUGCUUUUAUCCAGCUUGGCCUUCCUUUCGUCACUGUAUUCCAGAGCCAUUACAGUUAGUAAAAGAGCCAUACCUGUUUUCUUCAGUGACUCCUGGAUAUACAUGUGCAUGAAUUCAAUACCAAACAUUUCCUGUUGCUCCUCCUCUUCUGCAUUUUCACAUGGAGGGAGCGUUACUUCCAACUCCAGGGGGUUGUCUCUGAAAUUGACAAAUCUGGCAGUUCACCAGAAAAGGUUACUCAUUCAGUAGGUUUUGUCCAGAGAGAGCAACUGUUUUGAAACUGAAUUAAGAUUCCUCAAACAGUCUUCCGAGCAAAACAAGAUGUCUUUUUCUUAGACUAAAUUCAACACUGUAUUGGUUCUGUUAAGUAAACUAAGCUAAAAAGAGCCUUAUAAUAACAGUAUCUGACUGUGGUGGGAGGAAAAAAAGUCACAGCAGUUCUUCUGUAUUUUAAGUUUUUAACCCAUUCUCAGCUUUAUUGAACCUUCACAGGUGAGUAGGUAAGAACAAGAGUGUAAAUGUCUGCAUCCUCCCAGUAUUGCCUAGCUCCCUCUGCUCUUGGUCCACCCCUAGGCCUCUGUUUACGAAGAGACACUGCUGCCUUCUAAACAUCUUAAAAUAGGAAUUGUCUCGCUGAGUUAGAUGUGAUUUGUUUAGACUAACAUUGGUCCUCCGAAACUGCCAGCACCCAGUAAUUCAAUUCAGAAUGCAAAGAGCAGGGCAGUGUGUCACACUACACAAAACAUCCUUUCCAAUUCUAACCAUUAAAAAUAGGCAUUUAUCCUUUUUUUUGUUUUCCAAAUCAAGUACAGGAGAGUUUUGUCUCUAUCACACAGAAUGGUCCUUACAUCUGCUCCUUUUUGUUCACUGUAUGAAUGUUUGACUUCUCAGUGCCAGAGCUCUACAUUUUGUCAGUUUUAUGCUUCCUAUGUUCUUUUAUGCCGGGCUCUAGGCUCUAGAGAGCUUAAGUAUAGAAGGCCAGUUAGAAGUGGUCACUUGAACCUUCUGGACAUAAGAAAAUGUGUUACAGUCUCCUUUUUCAUCUAGGACUGAAGGAUCAUAGCCUCUUUAAAUAAUGUACAAGAAGCUGCACAAAGCUUUCUUGACCAGAUGCUCAGCUUUUAUGAUUCUUUGUCAUCAAAGAAGCAAACAGGUUGGAAGAGACCUCCAAGAUCAUCCCAUCCAAUCUAUAACCCAGCCCUAGCCAAUCAACUAGACCAUGGCACUAAAUGCUCCAUCCAGUCUUCUUUUUGAACACUUCCAGGGACAGCAACUCCACCACCUCCCUGGGCAGCCCAUUCCAAUGCCAAUCACUCUCUCUGACAACAACUUCCUCCUAACAUCCAGCCUAGACCUCCCCUGGCACAACUUGAGACUGUGUCCCCUUGUGUUGCUGGGUGCCUGGCAGAAGAGACCAACCCCACCUGACUACAGCCUCCCUUCAGGUAGUUGUGGACAGGAAUGAGCUCUGCCCUGAGCCUCCUCUUCUCCAGGCUGAACAACCCCAGCUGAGUUACAUGGUAUGGACCCCACCUGCCCAGCUGUGGACAUGCCUUUUCCACUUCAAAAUUACACAGAAACGAUCUUCUAGUAUUUUUAUCUAUAGUUGUGUUGUUUUCUUACCUCAGGUUUGUCAUGUCCUUCAUACAAGCUGGAAUAUCUUUUAGCUUGUUGUUGCUAAGAACAAGGGUACUGAGAUUCUUCAUAUUGCCAAUGGUUUCUGGCAAAGAGCUGAUCUCAUUCCUUUGGAGCCAUAACGUGUGGAGAUUUUCCAUUCUGUAAAACAGGUAUUUGGGCAAUCAUCAAGACUUAGAAAAUUCAUCUCAUGAACUGUUAAUAGAAAGCAAUUGAUUCAAUUUUGCAGUCACAUAAAGGACAUAAAGAACAUAACAAUUCUCAACCCCAAAUACCCAAGAUACAUUCACUGUGUGGUCAGGUGCCUAUUGCUGGCAGGCAAAAACCUUAUUGGUUUAAAGGUAUUGCUCAGCCAAAAUGCCACAACAGAGUUGAUAAAUCUUAAGUUUGCAGUGAGAUUAACACUAAAAUAAUCUUUUGAAGUAGGAUUUAGUAAUGAUAGUUUCAAUGCUUUAUUUACCUGUAAAUUGCAUCAGGAAGCUCCUGGAGUUUAUUUCCUCCCAUAUCUAACCAUUCCAGAUUGGGCAUGUCGAGAAGAGCUGAAGGGAGGGCAGUGAACUGAUUCAUGCACAAAUCUACAUGUGAAAGCUUCUUUAAAUCACUGAGCUGAAAGGGAGAUUUAAUACCAGUUCAGCAGUGCUGUAAUAAAGUUGACUGAAACCAAGAAACGAUUCUAAAACAUUGCAACACAUUUGCAGUUGGUAAAUAGAAGGGUUUCUGAGUUACAUUACCUCAGGUAUGCAGGUUUGAACCUGACCAGGCAGAACUUUUGUCUCCCACCUGGUAGUGCCUUAAUUGCUGAAAAGCUGAGGGCCUUGACUACAACCCAGAUAUAUCCUCAGCCAUGCCAGAAAAUGCAUUUUAGAUGCCACUGUCCUUGGUGUCUCAUACUCCAUGCAGUAUGCCAUUUUUCACUAUUCUAAUGUUCAGAUCUUCAUGGAUCAAACGACAUGGACUCCGUUCUAGAGUGAACCCAGACAGCUUCCACCUUCUGAUGCCUACUGCUACUGAAAAUUAAACACAGCACCGCUCAGUGUCACAGUACUUGGCAUUGCAGUAUUAGCUGCAGACAUUUGGUUAAUCAUGCCUUCAGGUGCUUUUACAACAUCCAGGUGAUGCAGAAAUACUCUGUUGCAAAUCUGGUCCAAUUAUCUAGGCUCUGAAUGCCACUCAAGUACAUACCACCAAAGCUUCAUGGUGUUCACAUCAUCAGUCUCCCAUAAGCCAGAACUGUGUAUUUACUAUGAGCUGCUAGGUUCAAAGCUGUCACCAUACACUAUGCCACAUAAUCUUUACCCACACAGAUUUUGUCAGCUUUGGAUUCUGAUUAAUAGUGUAUAUUUGCAUUAGCAGACUUGUUAGGUUUGGACUGACUCAUUUCACAAGGCCCUGUCAGCUCAAACUGUUGCCAUUACUCUGUUUUAAAAGAAAUCAAAGCACAUGCAAUUACAUACUUGCCAUCUCUAUCUAAAGGACUCAUACUUGCAGGUGCCCAUCUCCCUCACAUUUAGAUCAGCCCAGAGCAAAGCUCAGUAGCAGGCAAACACUUGUUUCUAUUCUUAGUCACUUUCGACACCUCAGAACAACAUUUGUUCACCAUUUUUGUGCACAGGCAGCAGUACAAAUGGCAUCAACUCUUUUCAUGGCUAACAGCUCUAACAAAGACACUGCAAAAUAUGCAUUAAACAGAACAGUCUGUCAGUACCUGAGGAGGAAGCUCACAGAUAUUCCUGUUGACAGCCAGUUCCAAUCUCUCCAGACUGACACAGUUACUUAUUUCCUUAGGAACAGACUUUAUUCUGUUGUAACUGAGAAGCAGUUCUUGCAGGCUAGUCAGCUGGCCUGCAGAGAGCACAAAUGAGAAAUUACAACUGCUCACAUUCAGUCUAUCUGGCAUACAGUUUUACUUAAUAUAUGCUACCCUUAUACUGCUAUAGAAGUGCUCUGUGCUCUCAAAAAUAAAAUCAUUGAAAUUCAAAGAGUAGUGCUUCAGGACUCUUUAGUACAGAGCUGCACUAUCAUAAAACUCACCAGAACCUCUGGAAGAAAAAAAACCUUACUAACAUAAGCUACUCAUGCUGUGGACUCAGAACACAAGGGCUGGGUUUCAGUACAAUUUUGAUCACUACAUUCUGAUGUCUUAAUACCUGCUGUGCUUACAAGCUUUUUUUUCUUCAUGGGGAGCUUUCAUAGAAUCAGCCAGGUUGGAAGAGACCUCCAAGAUCAUCCAGUCCAACCUAGCACCCAGCCCUACCCAAAUCAACUACACCAUGGCACUAAGUGCCUCAUCCAAUCUUUUCUUGAACACUUCCACUGACAGCAACUCCACCACCUCCCUGGGCAGCCCAUUCCAAUGCCAGUCACUCUGUCAAUAAUUUCUUCCUAACAUCCAGUCUAGACCUCCCCUGGCACAACUUGAGACUGUGUCCCCUCUGGCCACUCUGUCCCCAGCCUGUAGCACUGCUUGGGGCUGUUGUGGCCAAAGUGUAGAACCCAGCCCUUUGCCUUGCUCAGUCUCAUCCCAUUGGCCUCUGCCCACCCAUCCAGCCUGUUCAAGGUCCUUCUGCAGGGCUCUCCUACCCUCCAACAGAUCCACAGCUGCUCCUAGCUUGGUGUCAUCUGCAGACUUACCGCUGCUGGACUCAAUCCGCUGCUCCAGAUUAUCACUGAAGAUACCUAAUAAAGACUUUUCCUCCAUUCAGCCGGUUAUUUUUAAUUUAUAGACAAUUGAUGGUUCUAAGAUCUGUCUUGCCUGUUUUAAGUACUCAGUAGGAGUGUUAGAUGGACAAGGUGCACAAAAAAAAAAGGCAUGUUUGUGUGAGACGAAUUUUCUUAGAAACCAACUUAAAAGCAGAGCUCACCGAUUUCUUUAGGUACACUUUC